rnacentral:rRNA from 1 species
AUUGAACGCUGGCGGCAGGCCUAACACAUGCAAGUCGAACGAGUGGCGGACGGGUGAGUAAUGGCUGGGAAACUGCCCGAUGGAGGGGGAUAAAUACUGGAAACGGUAGCUAAUACAGCAUACCAUCGGAUGUGCCCAGAUGGGAGUAGCUAGUAGUUGGGGUAACGGGUCACCUAGGCGACGAUGCCUAGCUGGGCUGAGAGGAUGACCAGCGAAACUGGAACUGAGACCCGGUGCAGACUCCUACGCGAGGCAGCAGUGGGGAAUAGUGCACGAUGGGAGAAAGCCUGAUGCAGCCAUGCCGCGUGUAUGAAGAGGGCCUUCGGGUUGUAAAGUACUUUCAGCGAGGAGGCGUGACUCGCAGAAGAAGCACCGGCUAACGCCGUGCCAGCAGCCGCGGUAAUAC